UGAAUGAGGAGCAGGAGGGAGAGGAAGAUGGAGGGGGGGGAGACACAGAGAGAGCUGCGUUAGAGCGACCCGCUUUGGCAGUGACUUCACCUCCACUAAGUAGCGGCUCAGAUCACAGGCCCUCAGCUACAGGGCAAGCAACUGUCACCCUGUGGGACCACAGCCCUCAGUGCUGGCUGCCCAGGCUUCCUCAUGGCCAGACCCCUUGGCAAGGCGAGUCCUGAGGGAAAAGUCAAAGUUCCACUGUCCAGUGUCAUCACAUUCAAAUCCUGCAGUGAC